CACGUAGGGCGCAAGCGUUGUCCGGAAUUAUUGGGCGUAAAGAGCUCGUAGGUGGUCUGUUGCGUCCGCUGUGAAAACUCGGGGCUUAACCCCGAGCCUGCAGUGGAUACGGGCAGACUAGAGGUAGGUAGGGGAGAAUGGAAUUCCUGGUGUAGCGGUGAAAUGCGCAGAUAUCAGGAGGAACACCGGUGGCGAAGGCGGUUCUCUGGGCCUUACCUGACACUGAGGAGCGAAAGCUAGGGUAGCGAACGGG
rnacentral:rRNA from 1 species